AAAGUCGUAACAAGGUAACCGUAGGUGAACCUGCGGUUGGAUCAUUACUGAAAUUUCGGUUCUUUUGAACCGUUUCAACCUCUGUGCUAUUGUGAUUGUUUCUGGGUACAUUUUUUGUACCCAAAAAUGUUAAACCAUUUUUAUUAUUAUUGUCUGAUCUUUUUAUUAUAUAUAAAAAAAAAACAACUUUUGACAACGGAUCUCUUGGCUCUC
rnacentral:misc_RNA from 1 species